AUUGAACGCUGGCGGCAGGCCUAACACAUGCAAGUCGAGCGGAGCGGCGGACGGGGGAGUAAUGCAUAGGAAUGGACCUGGUAGUGGGGGAGAACGUCCGAAAACGGGCGCUAAUACCGAAUACUAGCAGACGAGCGUAGGGCGGAUGAGCUAGUUGGUGGGGUAAAGGCCUACCAAGGCGACGAUCCGUAACUGGUCUGAGAGGAUGAUCAGUCACACUGGAACUGAGACACGGUCCAGACUCCUACGGGAGGCAGCAGUGGGGAAUAUUGGACAAUGGGCGAAAGCCUGAUCCAGCCAUGCCGCGUGUGUGAAGAAGGCCUUCGGAUUGUAAAGCACUUUCAGUUGGGAGGCGUUACCAACAGAAUAAGCACCGGCUAACUUCGUGCCAGCAGCCGCGGUAAUAC
rnacentral:rRNA from 1 species